GGAUCAUUACAAAACAGAGUAUUCGUACUCUUCAACCCUUUGUGAACUAUACCAAUCGUCAGUUGCUUCGGCGGGGGGCCCCUGGGAGGGGCACCGGGGCCCGGGCCUGAGCCCGGGGUCCCGCCGGAGGAGCGCAACCUAAACUCUUGCUGUAUCAGUGGUAAUUCCGAGUCAAAACACAAAAACAAGUUAAAACUUUCAACAACGGAUCUCUUGGUUCUGGCAUCGAUGAAGAACGCAGCGAAAUGCGAUAAGUAAUGUGAAUUGCAGAAUUCAGUGAAUCAUCGAAUCUUUGAACGCACAUUGCGCCCGCCAGUAUUCUGGCGGGCAUGCCUGUUCGAGCGUCAUUGGAACACUCAGGCCUUAGGGUCUGGCUUCGGGGCGGUUCCCGCGAGGGAAGCCCUCAGAUACAUAGGCGGACCUCUUGGGCUCCGAGCGCAGUAGUAAAAUUCUCGCUCCGGAGCUUACUGUAGGGAGUGGCCGGCCCGCUUCUGACCUGGAAGCGGUGACCCAGGGGUGCAAGCAUACUCGGAUUUGCACGUUUAUUUGACCUCGGAUCAGGUAGGAAUACCCGCUGAACUUAAGCAUAUCAAUAAGCGGAGGAAAAGAAACCAACAGGGAUUGCCCCAGUAACGGCGAGUGAAGCGGCAACAGCUCAGAUUUGAAAUCUGGCCCCCAGGGCCCGAGUUGUAAUCUGUAGAGGAUGCUUCUGGCAAGGCGCCGUCCGAGUUCCCUGGAACGGGACGCCGGAGAGGGUGAGAGCCCCGUACAGGCGGACGCCGAGCCUCUGUGAAGCUCCUUCGACGAGUCGAGUAGUUUGGGAAUGCUGCUCAAAGCGGGAGGUAAAUUUCUUCUAAAGCUAAAUAUAGGCCAGAGACCGAUAGCGCACAAGUAGAGUGAUCGAAAGAUGAAAAGCACUUUGAAAAGAGGGUUAAAAAGCACGUGAAAUUGUUGAAAGGGAAGCGCCUGUGACCAGACUCGCGCCCGGCGGAUCAUCCGGCGUUCUCGCCGGUGCACUCCGCCGGGCUCGGGCCAGCAUCGGUUCUGGCGGGGGGAUAAAGGCGGCGGGGAUGUGACUCCCCCGGGAGUGUUAUAGCCCGCCGCUCAAUGCCCCCGCCGGGACCGAGGACCGCGCGUAUGCA
rnacentral:rRNA from 1 species